rnacentral:rRNA from 1 species
AUACGUAGGGGGCAAGCGUUAUCCGGAUUUACUGGGUGUAAAGGGAGCGCAGGUGGCAAGGUAAGUCAGAUGUGAAAGCCCGGGGCUCAACCCCGGGACUGCAUUUGAAACUAUCUCGCUAGAGUGCAGGAGAGGCAGGCGGAAUUCCUAGUGUAGCGGUGAAAUGCGUAGAUAUUAGGAGGAACACCAGUGGCGAAGGCGGCCUGCUGGACUGUAACUGACACUGAGGCUCGAAAGCGUGGGGAGC